GAUGAAGAACGUAGCGAAAUGCGAUAAGUAAUGUGAAUUGCAGAAUCCAGUGAAUCAUCGAAUCUUUGAACGCACAUUGCGCCCGCCAGCAUUCUGGCGGGCAUGCCUGUUCGAGCGUCAUUUCAACCCUCGACCUCCCUUUGGGGAAGUCGGCGUUGGGGACCGGCAGCACACCGCCGGCCCUGAAAUGGAGUGGCGGCCCGUCCGCGGCGACCUCUGCGUAGUAAACCAACUCGCACCGGAACCCAGACGUGGCCACGCCGUAAAACACCCCACUUCUGAACGUUGACCUCGAAUCAGGUAGGACUACCCGCUGAACUUAAGCAUAUCAAAAGCGGAGGA
rnacentral:misc_RNA from 1 species